GCUUGUCUCAAAGAUUAAGCCAUGCAUGUCUAAGUGUAAAUAAGUCUAUACUGUGAAACUGCGAAUGGCUCAUUAAAUCAGUUAUCGUUUAUUUGAUGAUCUCUUACUACUUGGAUAACCGUAGUAAUUCUAGAGCUAAUACAUGCACAAAAUCCCGACUUACGAAGGGAUGUAUUUAUUAGAUACAAAACCAACGCAGGGCUUGCCCUGGUUUUUGGUGAUUCAUAAUAACUUUUCGGAUCGCAUGGCGCAAGCCGGCGACGUUUCAUUCAAAUUUCUGCCCUAUCAACUUUCGAUGGUAAGGUAUUGGCUUACCAUGGUUACAACGGGUAACGGAGAAUUAGGGUUCGAUUCCGGAGAGGGAGCCUGAGAAACGGCUACCACUUCCAAGGAAGGCAGCAGG
rnacentral:rRNA from 1 species